rnacentral:lncRNA from 1 species
GUGUUAACAAAUAUUUUCUUUUGUCCUUUGAUUCUUAAUUAAUUCACCUCCAAGGCCACCCACAUUUACUAAGUAGUAACAACCCUCCUCAAUAUUGUCUAGUUUGGCGGGUAUACCUAAGUAUGUUAAACAUCUAGCAUUUGUUGACAGACUGAUGUGUGGUGAUUUAAAAGUUGAAACUGUUAUCUCCUAUUAUUUUUGAUGAAAUAGAGCUAUAACUCAUUAAUUUAUAUAAUGAGUAAAGAGAAUUUAAUUUAUACAAAAAGCAUAGCCUUAGGUCUUGUGUUUUCAAAUGUGGUUUGUUCCCCCCCCUCUAGUUCUUUGUUAACUCUUCAUAACUUUCAAUUGGAAUUCUCACAUUUGGAAUAUGGAAAUGGAUUGUAGAUUAUAUGAAAGUUUAUUUUUUCUGUGAGAAGUGCAUUGUUAACAUUGGAAACAACUGAAGUAGUUCAUUAGGAAAUAAGAAUAAUAAAAUGUUAGCUUUUAAAAGUUAAAAAAUUGAAAGUGUUGCUCAACCUGAGAAAUUUUAUCUUUUCUAUCAUUUGUUCAGAGCAUAAUCUCUUUCCAUUCCUACUUAUAUUCUGAAAUUUUGCUUGAUUUAAAAAUUCUAUUAAAAGACAGGAAAUAAAUGAGAAGUUGCUAUGU